GACGAACGCUGGCGGCGUGCUUAACACAUGCAAGUCGAACGGAAAGGCCUGCUUUCCCUUGUGGAUUGCGGGUGCUCGAGUGGCGAACGGGUGAGUAACACGUGAGUGAUCUGCCCCCAACUUGGGUAUAAGCCUGGGAAACUGGGUCUAAUUCCCGAUAGGACUGCAGGGUGGUGCCUGUGGUGGAAAACGAUUUUCUAGUGGUUGGGGAUGAGCUCGCGGCCUAUCAGCUGGUUGGUGGGGUAAUGGCCUACCAAGGCGGCGACGGGUAGCCGGCCUGGGAGGGUGGACGGCCACAUUGGGACUGAGAUACGGCCCAGACUCCUACGGGAGGCAGCAGUGGGGAAUAUUGCACAAUGGGCGGAAGCCUGAUGCAGCGACGCCGCGUGGGGGAUGACGGCCUUCGGGUUGUAAACUCCUUUCGACCGCGAGGAAGCCACCUGGUUGGAAGGGUGGUGACGGUAGUGGUAGAAGAAGCACCGGCUAACUACGUG
rnacentral:rRNA from 1 species